AUCAUUACAUUAUCAUUUCAACUUUGGACUUUCAUACACACUCUCUCAUCCACGUGUCGUAAUCUUAACGAUUGAUUUGUUGGGUCUCUGCUGCUCUGCCAGCCGUCAGAUCGGAUAUUGCCAAAUGUUGCAAAGAUGUUAGACUGAUCAACAAGAAAGUGACCAGUAAAGUUGACGCUCCUUGUUUUCACCUUCAAGAGAAAUCUCUUUCUGCAUCCCUUUUUAUUUUUGUCUUUAACAUAUAUAUAGCCUGUAAUUCCAAAAAAAAUAUAACCUCACAAAAGGAAAGUUUUUGAUUAACAAAAUAUGAGCAUUUUAAGAAAUUUCUUUUUUUUUCGUAAAAUUAUAUCAUUUGCUUGAACUAAAGAAUAUGUAUAAUAAACAUUGACCACUCAUAAAUCUAUUGAUUAAACAAACAUAACGAGACUGCAUUUUUGUAAGAAGUCGUUUUAGUCCUUCAAAAUUACUAAGACUUGCCCUGCAUUUACAGUGAAAAAGAAUUUAGUCAACACAUGUAUAAUCUAUACUCCUAGACGGAAGUAUUAAUUAUGAAAGUAAAUGUAAAAACAAACUUUUAACCAAGAAAUGUAAAAGAAAAAGAGCAAAGGAAGAGACUAUUUCUCAUGAAAUUUUGCAGUGUUAAUUGAGUAGCUCGAGGAGCUUUUGCAUGGGGAGAAGCUGUGGUUUGGGUCCCAUCAACGUUAAUUCAAACGUCAAUAUGAGAGAGAGAGGAGGAUGAAUGUAUGGGUACAUAAGAUUUUGUCAAAACUUAUACAAUAAUGUCCAUCAAUUUUCUAAUAUUUGACAUAGAGACAUUGUUUAUUAAUUUGAUGAUGAUAUAUAAUAUAUAUAUAUACAAAAACAAGAGUAAAGAAAAAAGAAUAACGCAGAAAAGUGGAGAAGACAUAGAUAUAACAAAAAAUAAUUGUUCUCUUACAGGACAACGGAUAAUAAGGCGAAAUUCUCG
rnacentral:lncRNA from 1 species